AGCAACUUUGAUCGGUCCCUGUUUGUGUGUGUGUGUGUUUGGUUUUUUGUAAGGAUGGGUGGGAAGGGGGCUGAUGAAGAGGGUCUAUCUCUAUUAUUGGGCAGAUUUAAAAUCCUUUUCCGCGUACAAACCAUCCUCCCAUCUGGUUGCUCCGCAGCCUUCUCCUUCAGGCCAAAGAGGGAACAAGGCAUUAAGCACGGGUGGCUGCGACCUGGCACACUAAGCACGGCUGAGAGGAGUUACCCCACGUCCGAGGUCAGGGGCAGCGGCCGAGAGUCCCAGGAUGCAACGGCGCAGGAAUGGCCGAGAGGAACUACCCAAGUCCGAGGUCAUGGGUGGCAGCCAGGAGGAGCUACCCUGCAUCCGAGGUCAGUGGCGGCCGGGAGGAGACACCCCGUGUCCGAGAUCAGGGGCAGCCAGGAGAAGCCACCUCACGCCCAAGGCCAGGGGCGGCAGCCGGGAGGAGCAACCCCAGGAGCAGGGGCUGCGCGGGCAUAGGAGGGCCUAGAGGAGCUAUCCCACAUUGAAGGUCAGGAAGGGUGGUG
rnacentral:lncRNA from 1 species